rnacentral:rRNA from 1 species
CCUACGGGUGGCAGCAGUCGAGAAUCAUUCACAAUGGGGGAAACCCUGAUGGGGCGACGCCGCGUGGGGGAAUGAAGGUCUUCGGAUUGUAAACCCCUGUCAUGUGGGAGCAAAUUAAAAAGAUAGUACCACAAGAGGAAGAGACGGCUAACUCUGUGCCAGCAGCCGCGGUAAUACAGAGGUCUCAAGCGUUGUUCGGAAUCACUGGGCGUAAGGCGUGCGUAGGCUGUUUCGUAAGUCGUGUGUGAAAGGCGCGGGCUCAACCCGCGGACGGCACAUGAUACUGCGAGACUAGAGUAAUGGAGGGGGAACCGGAAUUCUCGGUGUAGCAGUGAAAUGCGUAGAUAUCGAGAGGAACACUCGUGGCGAAGGCGGGUUCCUGGACAUUAACUGACGCUGAGGCACGAAGGCCAGGGGAGCGAAAGGGAUUAGAUACCCGAGUAGUC